UACAGAGACUGCGAGCGUUAUUCGGAUUCACUGGGCGUAAAGGGUGCGCAGGCGGCCAAGUGUGUUAGGCGUGAAAGCCCGGGGCUUAACCUCGGAAUUGCACCUAAAACUACUUGGCUAGAGCAUUGGAGAGGGUAGCGGAAUUCACGGUGUAGCAGUGAAAUGCGUAGAUAUCGUGAGGAACACCAGAGGCGAAGGCGGCUACCUGGACAAUUGCUGACGCUCAGGCACGAAAGCGUGGGGAGCAAACAGG
rnacentral:rRNA from 1 species